GACGAACCGUCCUAACGUUGUUCGGAAUCACUGGGCUUAAAGGGCGCGUAGGCGGGUCUCCAAGUCGGUGGUGAAAUCUUUCAGCUCAACUGGAAAAGUGCCGCCGAUACUGGGGAUCUCGAGGGAGGUAGGGGUCGAUGGAACUAAUGGUGGAGCGGUGAAAUGCGUAGAUAUCAUUAGGAACGCCGGUGGCGAUAGCGAUCGACUGGACCUCUUCUGACGCUGAGGCGCGAAAGCCAGGGGAGCAAACGGG
rnacentral:rRNA from 1 species